GCGCCCAUAGCUCAACUGGAUAGAGCGUCUGGCUACGGACCAGGAGGCUGGGGGUUCGAAUCCUCCUGGGCGUACCA
rnacentral:tRNA from 1 species